rnacentral:rRNA from 1 species
GACGAACCGAGCGAACGUUGUUCGGAAUCACUGGGCUUAAAGGGCGCGUAGGCGGGCUCGCAGGUCUGUGGUGAAAUCCUCCAGCCCAACUGGAGAAUGGCCGUGGAUACUGCGGGUCUCGAGGGAGGUAGGGGCGUGCGGAACAGAUGGUGGAGCGGUGAAAUGCGUUGAUAUCAUCUGGAACUCCGGUGGCGAAGGCGGCACGCUGGACCUCUUCUGACGCUGAGGCGCGAAAGCCAGGGGAGCAAACGGG